UACACUCCUACGGGAGGCAGCAGUGGGGAAUAUUGCACAAUGGGCGCAAGCCUGAUGCAGCCAUGCCGCGUGUAUGAAGAAGGCCUUCGGGUUGUAAAGUACUUUCAGCGUGGAGGAAGGCAAUACGGUUAAUAACCGUGUUGAUUGACGUUACCCGCAGAAGAAGCACCGGCUAACUCCGUGCCAGCAGCCGCGGUAAUACGGAGGGUGCAAGCGUUAAUCGGAAUUACUGGGCGUAAAGCGCACGCAGGCGGUCUGUCAAGUCGGAUGUGAAAUCCCCGGGCUCAACCUGGGAACUGCAUUCGAAACUGGCAGGCUUGAGUCUUGUAGAGGGGGGUAGAAUUCCAGGUGUAGCGGUGAAAUGCGUAGAGAUCUGGAGGAAUACCGGUGGCGAAGGCGGCCCCCUGGACAAAGACUGACGCUCAGGUGCGAAAGCGUGGGGAGCAAACAGGAUUAGAUACCCUAGUAGUCCCAUGA
rnacentral:rRNA from 1 species